UAUGAAAGGUAGAAGGGAGGAUAGUGUCAUUGCUAAAAAUAACUAAAUCAUAAAUGCAAAUCUAAAAAUUAUAAACCCAAUAUUCAAAUCUGGCGCCCAAGUGCUGUUCUGAGUCCGCGAGCGCAUGGGCAGCACUGGCGCGCUCCGCUGGUCCGGAUUGGUCUCACUUUUCCACCCCUGGGCGCCAAAAAUUUGAUUGGAUCAUCUUAAGCUAGCUAAUAAGUUCCAAUAUUUACGACAUUUUGAGAAGAGACAGACACAGACCUGGGGAAGUUUGUCGCAAAUUAAAGUCGGGCAUGUAGUGUGUGGAUCAGUCGAAAGCGGUUGUUGGUAUUAAUUGGGCGAUGCGGUUGGAAUUUGUUUUAGCUGAGAUAGGGGCAAAAGGUAUGACAAGAACACGGCAAAUGGAAGUCAAAUUCAUAGCUUUUUCUUGUUCGAAACAUUUACUCUGGAUGGCGCGGUUGAAUUUUGGCACAAAAAGUUUAUAAACAAAAGUUAGCAAUUUUAAAUGUCGGAUGUUAAGAUGAAAUGGAAUGGAUGAUUUGGAAUUGCUAUGCAACACAUACGAAACGAAACAUUUGACGGGAUUCGAACUUGGCCAAUUCGGAUGACGAUCAAAUCAUAAAUUAGAAGAGGGUUAAACCAUACACAAAGACUACAACCAACAAACAAAUAAACAUAAAGCGAGCAAGUUUAAGGCGGACACUUACCGGCAACACUAGUUGCAACAUUCCGUUGCUGUUGCUGCUGUUGCUGCUGCUGCUGUGGACUACUGGCCGUAGUUUGAUAUGAGGCCGUGGCGGCGGUUACGGCAUGUCCGUUGGCAUCACAGAGAAUCUCGUUUUGCAGCUGAUAGACACUUCCGUCCGUACUUCCGUACUGCUGCUGUUGCUGCUGUGGAAUGCCGUUGAGGGUAUUGGCGGCGGGCAACAUGUUGACGUAGACAAUCUGUUGCUGCUGCUCUUGACUAGACUGGGAUGUGGAUGCUUCUGUGGAGGCUGCUGCUGCUCCUCCUCCCGAUGCGGCGGUCGGUUGACUUAGCUUUGGUAUCUUGCCCUCAAAUUUACGCGACUGUUGCAUAAACUGCAGCGACGGCUGCUCCUUUUUGGCAUCUGAAAUCGGAAUCGAAAGAAUUUAGUGCUUGAUCGGGCCUCGAUUUUCAUUGAUUGUGAUUAAAUGCGAUUGAUAUUGUUCUUGUUGGUGUAAACACAAAGA